rnacentral:lncRNA from 1 species
UGAAAAAGAAAUAUUAGAAGAACUUGAUUAUAAAAAUUUAAUUAAAAAUUUUGUAUCUCAAAAAAUUAAAAAAAAUUAAUAAAAAAUUUACAUAAAUUUUAAUUUAAAAAAAGUAUAAAUUUUAAUAUUUAGCUUUAAGCCUCUAUAUGUGUUGUGCCACCCUUGCUCUAGAUCCACAGAAAAUAAAAUUGAGAAUAUUCCAAAUGGCAAGAAUAGCAUUGCAUUAGAGAUUUUUAAGAAAUUAUAACAAUAAUUAUAAUGGAGAUAUCUCUGUUAAGAUCAUUCACUACCAUGAAUAAAGGAUAAGAGUUUUAUUGGAUAUCUAAGAUAAUGCGAAACCAAAAUCUAUGUAACAUUUUGCAUCUAAUUAUAAAUUAUAUAGUAACUAAGAACUAUUUUUCUGUUAUUUACAAAAACAAAAGUUCUUACUGUUGGUUAAUCACAAGCUAAUGAUGUCAGAUAUUUGCAAAUAAACUACAUAGAGUUUCAGGUGCAUUUUUAUAAGAUCACUUUCAUCCCUUAAAACAGUCAGAAUUUAUGCAUGUGUAUUCAGUUCCUUCUUCAUUUUAUUUAUUUUGUCAACCUUGUAACAGCUAAAGUUUUUUUUUUUUUGAUAAUGACAACCAGUGAAAUAUUGUACAUAUAAUUGAACAAUCAGAAUUAGUUAAUGUGCUCUCUAUGGACCUAUAUCAUGCACACAUGCACAUAAGUAGAUACAAUCAAUCACUGAAACAAUGAGUAUAUAAAAAGAGACUAAUGCUAAAUCGGCUUCUUUUCCUUUCUUCAUGUACAUAUAAGAAGAAUUUUCUUUAUUACAAAUGUGAUGUUAAUAUGUGAGAAUAUUAUCAUCACACGUGUUUACAGCAUCUGUGCAUGCAUGCAACAAUAUGUGCAUAUGUAAGAACUACACAAAAAUAUAAAGAGAAUAGAAGAGCAGAGAUAAAUGUUGCAAAAAAAUGUACAAGAUUGCGGUAACUAAUAAAUAUAAGUCCUAUUAAGUAUGUCCCCAAUUUUGGACCCUUUAUUAUGGCCUUUUACUCUUGUAUUUGGGCUUAUGUUUCUUUCC